GGCGUAGGCGGCCUUUCAAGUCAGAUGUGAAAUCUCCCGGCUCAACUGGGAGGGUGCAUCUGAUACUGAUGGGCUAGAGUACAGCAGAGGGAAGUGGAACUCCCGGUGUAGUGGUGAAAUGCGUAGAUAUCGGGAAGAACACUAGUGGCGAAGGCGGCUUCCUGGGAUGUCACUGACGCUGGGGCCCGAAGGCGUGGGGAGCAAACAGGAUCAGAUACCCUGGUAGUCCACGCAGUAAACAAUGGACACUAGGUAUGGGGGGUAUCGACCCCUCCGUGCCGAAGCUAACGCUUUAAGUGUCCCGCCUGGGGAGUACGGUCGCAAGACUAAA
rnacentral:rRNA from 1 species